rnacentral:rRNA from 1 species
UACGUAGGGGGCACGCGUUGUCCGGAUUUAUUGGGCGUAAAGAGCGUGUAGGCGGCCUGGUAGGUCAGCUGUGAAAACUCGAGGCUCAACCUCGAGACGCCGGUUGAAACCAUCAGGCUAGAGUCCGGAAGAGGAGAGUGGAAUUCCCGGUGUAGCGGUGAAAUGCGCAGAUAUCGGGAAGAACACCCGUGGCUAAGGCGGCUCUCGAGUACGGUACUGACGCUGAGACGCGAAAGCGUGGGGAGCGAACAGG